AAAAACAUGUCUUUUUGAAUAUAAUUUAAAGUCUAACCUGCCCACUGAAAAUUUUAAAGGGCCGCGGUAUAUUGACUGUGCAAAGGUAGCAUAAUCAUUUGUCUCUUAAUUGGAGGCUAGAAUGAAAGGUUGAAUGAAGUAUUAACUGUCUCAUUUUAAAAAUUUAAAAAUUUAAUUUUUAAGUUAAAAAGCUUAAAUUUAAUUAGAGGACGAGAAGACCCUAUAGAUCUUUAUAAUUAAGUAUUUUGUUUAAUUUAGAUUUAUAUUUUAUAUAAAAUAUUUAAUUAUUUUAUUGGGGUGAUAGGAAAAUUUGUUUAACUUUUUUUAUAUAAUACCAUUGAUUUAUGAAAUUUUGAUCCAUUAUUAUUGAUUAUAAGAUUAAGUUACCUUAGGGAUAACAGCGUAAUGUUUUUAAAGAGUUCUUAUCGAUAAAAAAGAUUGCGACCUCGAUGUUGAAUUAAAGAUUAUUUCUAGAUGCAGAAGUUUAGAGUUUAGGUCUGUUCGACCUUUAAAUCUUUACAUGAUCUGAG
rnacentral:rRNA from 1 species